CACGUAGGGUGCGAGGCGUUGUCCGGAAUUAUUCGGGCGUAAAGGAGCUCGUAGGCGGUGUGUCGCGUCGGCCGUGAAACCUGACAGCUUAACUGUGGGCUUGCGGUCGAUACGGGCGGGCUGAGAGUUCGGUAGGGGAGGACUGGAAUUCCUGGUGUAGCGGUGAAAUGCGCAGAUAUCAGGAGGAACACCGGUGGUGUAGACGGCUUACUGGACCAUAACUGACGCUGAGACACGAAAGCGUGGGUAGCAAACAGG
rnacentral:rRNA from 1 species